rnacentral:tRNA from 29 species
UCAGGAUAGCUCAGUCC